AGUGAACGCUGGCGGUAGGCCUAACACAUGCAAGUCGAACGGCAGCACAGUAAGAGCUUGCUCUUACGGGUGGCGAGUGGCGGACGGGUGAGGAAUACAUCGGAAUCUACUUUUUCGUGGGGGAUAACGUAGGGAAACUUACGCUAAUACCGCAUACGACCUACGGGUGAAAGCAGGGGUUCUUCGGACCUUGCGCGAUUGAAUGAGCCGAUGUCGGAUUAGCUAGUUGGCGGGGUAAAGGCCCACCAAGGCGACGAUCCGUAGCUGGUCUGAGAGGAUGAUCAGCCACACUGCAACUGAGACACGGUCCAGACUCCUACGAGAGGCAGCAGUGGGGAAUAUUCGACAAUGGGCGGAAGCCUGAUCCAGCCAUACCACGUCGGUGAAGAAGGCCUUCGGGUUGUAAAGCCCUUUUGUUGUGAAAGAAAAGCAGCAUGUUAAUACCCCGCUGUUCUGACGUUACCCAAAGAAUAAGCACCGGCUAACUUCGUG
rnacentral:rRNA from 1 species